GGAAGGAUCAUUAAACUCUCUAUCUCUCUCUCUUGCGGUUUGUUUUUGUUCUCCCCUCCAAGUCUAUCUUGGGGGGAAAAACCUAUAAAGCAUAAUAUUUGAUAUCAUAAACACUUGACAACGCUUAUCGGUGGAUGACUCGGCUCGGGUAACGAUGAAGAACGUAGCAAGCUACGUUAAUUGACGGGAAUUGCAGGACACUGUGACUCGUUGAGAUUUCGAAUGCAGACUGCGCCUCUGGGUAAAUCCUGGAGGCAUACCUGGUGAAGUCCGGCUAUCCUAUCCAUCUCCACCCUAGUGUGGGGGAAUGGGGAGUUUGCUAGCUUUUUAGCGAUCUCCUUACAUGACGUGCGCCAAGUCGAACGCACAACCUUCUCUUCUGAUGGCGAUUUCGCCUUGGUCGGGGAGGCUUUCGUUUGAUGAGGUACGGUCCGAACGGACUUUCUAGUCCGAAGAGGUCCACUCUUUACCUUACCGGCUUCGCUCAGGUAUGAUCACGCCGGGAACUUAAGCAUAUCAUUACCGGCAGGAAAAGAAAUUAACCAAGAUUCCCCUAGUAGCGGCGAGCGAAGAGGGAACAGCUCUCACCGAAUCUGUCUGGAUUCACUUCCGGACCGAAGUGUGGUGAAUCGACCAGUCUACGGUGCUGGAUUCGCGCUAAAUUACUCUGGAAUGGGUAGCCAUAGAGGGUGACAGCCCCGUAGGUGCGAUGAAGGUGUCAUUUGGCUGGCUCGUCGAGUCGAGUUAUUUGAGAGUAUAACUCUAAGUGGGUGAUAAGCUUCAUCCAAGGCUAAAUACGGACCCGAGACCGAUAGCGAACAAGUAGCGUGAGCGAAAGUUGAAAAGAACUUUGAAAAGAGAGUUAAAAGUCCCUGAAACCGAUAAGUGGAAAGGCCUUCGUAUGGGCAGAAUGCACCUGCUCCAAUUCAGGGGGGAUCGGCAAACCUGGGGGAUGGAAGCGAGCUCGCAAGAGCCGCUCCUUUCUCGGGCUAGUCGGGACCUCUGCACUUUGGGGUACGGCGCUCCACGGCCCACUCUCGAUGGAUCAAAACGCUAGGGAGGAGGUAAUUGGUCUAGGCCAGUGAAGCUCCCUGGAUGCGGUUUGUUGAGGGUGGAGGGACCGUAAAGGGUCAUGGGGGGCGGUCUUCUUGCGCUAGCGUCAGGGGGUGCUUUCGUCGGGCGGGACUGGGCAACCAGUGUCGUUCGGCGGAGGUCCCAGGGCGUAACUCGCUGAAGCCUUCCUCGGCUGUGGCAUGCUCGUCCAAAGGCUCCCGUCUUGAAACACGGACCAAGGAGUGCACUUACAGUGCGAGUGAAAGGGGAUGGAUCCCCUCAGCGGAAUGAAAGUGAAGUUUACCCCAAGCGCAAGCUGCAGGGUACACCGAACCGUUCAUUUAUGAUCGGUCUCGAGUAUGAGCAUUGUGAGUGCGACCCGAAAGAUGGCGAACUAUGCCUGUGUAGGGUGAAGCCAGAAGAAAUUCUGGUGGAGGCUCGAAGCGGUAUUGACGUGCAAAUCAUUCGUCAAACAUGGGUAUAGCGGCGAAAGACUAAUCGAGCCGUCUAGUAGCUGGUUCCCCU
rnacentral:misc_RNA from 1 species